UACAGGGGGGGCAAGCGUUGUUCGGAAUUACUGGGCGUAAAGGGUCUGUAGGUGGCCAACUAAGUCAGACGUGAAAUCCCCUCAGCUUAACUGGGGAACUGCGUCUGAUACUGGAUGGCUCGAGUGUGGGAGAGGAAUGCGGAAUUCCAGGUGUAGCGGUGAAAAUGCGUAGAUAUCUGGAGGAACACCGGUGGCGAAGGCGGCAUUCUGGACCAUAACUGACACUGAGAGACGAAAGCCAGGGGAGCAAACGGG
rnacentral:rRNA from 1 species